AUUGAACGCUGGCGGCAGGCCUAACACAUGCAAGUCGAACGGUAACAGGAAGCAGCUUGCUGCUUUGCUGACGCGUGGCGGACGGGUGAGUAAUGUCUGGGAAACUGCCCGAUGGAGGGGGAUAACUACUGGAAACGGUAGCUAAUACCGCAUAACGUCGCAAGACCAAAGAGGGGGACCUUAGGGCCUCUUGCCAUCGGCUGUGCCCAGAUGGGAUUAGCUAGUAGGUGGGGUAACGGCUCACCUAGGCGACGAUCCCUAGCUGGUCUGAGAGGAUGACCAGCCACACUGGAACUGAGACACGGUCCAGACUCCUACGGGAGGCAGCAGUGGGGAAUAUUGCACAAUGGGCGAAAGCCUGAUGCAGCCAUGCCGCGUGUAUGAAGAAGGCCUUCGGGUUGUAAAGUACUUUCAGCGGGGAGGAAGGGAGUAAAGUUAAUACCUUUGCUCAUUGACGUUACCCGCAGAAGAAGCACCGGCUAACUCCGUG
rnacentral:rRNA from 1 species